UUCAGAUUUAACUCUAAAAUCCACUUAAAACAAAACUAACUGUGGUGGUUAAAAGAUGUUGGAAAGACAGCCUCUUCAUGUCUCAUUGGGCAGCUGAUGGCAAUGUGCUCCUUGCUUGAUUCUGCAGUGCUUGGCCCAGGUUAAGGCCUUGAGAGACUGAUGCCACUGCCCUUGCUGUAGCAGAUAAAAAGGGAUCACCGUCAGAGACCCUGAGGAGGAAAAUGACAACAAGAUCCAAGUCCAGACUGAGGAAUUAAGAAGCUUUCGACCUGCCGAUGCCUCAGUUUCCUGGUGAAGAAGGGCCCAUCUAGGUGGAACGACCUUGGAACAUAGAGGAACACCUAGCUUCUGCACUUCCAGACCCAGAAAAGAGUGUGAAGCGGUUUAUCAGAGCAGUGGAAAACAUUGAUGCCACAAACAGAACCACAGGCCGAGAUUGGGCAGCUGUCUUCAGCAACAAGCUGAGACUAAAAUGGACUGAGGUACGUGGAGUUGGUGAUGAUGCUUUCAAUCCAAGCACUAGAAGAAUGAAUGCUGAUGCAGGUGCAGAGGGAACUGACACUCCAGAAUGGCAGACUACUUGGAAUAGCAUGAUUGCCAGAAUGAGGAUGGCAUACCCUACACGUCCUGACCGGGGAGCAAUCACUAACACAAAACAGCAGAAAGGGGAGAUGGUGAGCGCCUACCAUGCAUGUCUAAAAAACAAAUGCUGAUGAAAAUGCAGGCCUUCCAGAAGGUACUGAUAACACAGGCAUAUUAAAACAUCAUUUUGUGAAUGGACUUCUUUCUGAUUUGCAAAAAGCAGUAAGACUGACUUACAUAGGUUGAGAGGCACAAACUAUGGGGGUAAUGUUGCAACGUCCUAAACAUGCAGAGUUGAAUGUUAGAAGACAACAUAGAAGCAACAAAAACUAGAAAAUGCUCAGUAUAUGUUUUAUCAGUCCAGCAGCAGACCAGGAAUCAAAGGCCAGGGCAAGGUCGAUGGACUGGGAAAAGAAGAGACAGUUACAAUAGUCAAGAAGACCCCCGGCAUGUGCCAUCUCCAGGAUACCAUCAAGGGGCAUCAUAUCAGUGGAAAACUGCUGUCGAUCAAUGUCACAAUUGUGGUGAGAGAGGACAUUGGGGCAAGGAUUGCCCAAGAGAGAAAAAAAAAAAAACAUCAUCUCACAUGUGGACCACCUCCUCCUUCCCUUAACAACCCUUGGUCUCCAUCAUCAAAUGUGAGAGACCAUGAAUAGGAUAAAGUGGGAGAUACUCAACCAAAACAAUUACUGCAAAUAUCUGAUAACCCAAGACAAAAUCUGAUAAUAACUAUUCAAGUUGAAGGACUUUCCUUACUUUUUGGUGGACACAGUUGCCACAUUUUCUAAUAUCAAUGCAGAGACCACUCUAAAAUUUCCAAAUUUCUAAAACAACAUAUGGGGGUUAUCUGGCAUACCAUUGGUUGAUAAGUUGACUAUGCUGUUAAGAGUAAUAAACAUACUGAAACAGGUGAACCAUUCUUUCCUGGUUUCUGAAACAUGCCCUGAAAAUUUGUUAGCUAGGGAUUUACUGUCCAAAUUGGAAUUGAUCAUUUCCAUUUCAAAUUAUGGUAGGAAAGGGUUGAAAUCCAGAGGUGCUUUAAUGCAAAUUAUGCCAAACUGCUAUUACAAUUGAGCUUUAACUCCUCCUUUUGAUCCAUACUCUACUUAUCAAAAAAUGUGCCAGGGAAAUGGACUUAGGAUAGUAGUAGGAAACACUACACCAACCAAGAUGGGAAAAAGCAUAUCCUGUAAUGCAGGCAAUCAAUGUUCACAGGCUGUGUAGAGUGGACAAACCCCAAAUAUAAUUCCAAAAGUGCUUCAGCUUUAUUGGUAGGCAUUUCAGACACUCUUUGGUCAAAGGAUAAAUUUGAUUUUGACCAAAUGAAAAAUGCAGCGCCUAUGAGGAUAACACUACUGACUGAACAUUGGCCAUUCAGGACAUAGUAUCCACUCAGCAAAGAGGCUGUAGAAGGAAUCUCAUGCGGCAUUAGUAGAAAAAGGGGUAACCAUACCCUGCCAAAAUUCACCUGUGAACUCUCCUAUUCUACCAGUGCGGAAGGCAUCAGGGAAAUGGCGAUUUGUACAGGAUUUGAGAUUAGUAAAAUGGAGCCAUACAGCCACAAUCUCCAAUUUUACCAAAUCCUUCUAUAAUUUUGUCUUAAGUACCUAACAAUGCUACAUAUUUCUCAGUUAUUGAUUUAGCAAAUGCAUAUUUUCUCAAUUCCAGUCCAUCCAGAUAAUCUGAUACGGUGUUCUCCCAACAAACCAUAUGUGAGAUCUAUCCGUGCACAUUACUGGAGUUUUUAGCAGAGAAAGGUCACACAUUUUCGAAAUCAAAACUACAGUUAGUGCAGCAGGAAGUUAGGGACCGUGGUCACCUCAUUUCAGAAAAAGGUUGUGCACUAGGAUUUAAACUAAUUGAAACAGUUCAAAAAUUCAGAAAUGCCAUCAGAAAACUAUUACUAAUUAUGUAAUUUCUGGGAGUUGCAGGAAUGUUGUAGGCCAUAAACCUAAGACUAUGAAAUAUUUAAAAUCCUCUACACACAGCAGCUUAGGUUUACCUGACUAUUCAAACUUUUUGAGCUCUUUGUUCCAAAAAAAAAAAAAAAAAAAUUGGGUACAUGCCAGCAGUUAUAACACAACCCCACAGAAAUCGCCAUUGACUGUUUGCGCAUUACUCCAACAAUAAGUCACUGUCAUAAGUGGAACACCACAGUGCUUUCUUUAGGUAGCGGCUGCUAUUGAAGCUGUUUUUACAUGCUCAAACUUGGUGACAUUUUACCCUUUAACUGUGUUUGUUCUAAAUGCAGUGCAUGCCCCGAUGAUGAAGUCAGUCUCUGCAUUGGCAGAACUCCCACCAACGUUAACUGAAAUUCAAAAUAUGGCUACCAAUCAAGAGAGAGAACGUUGGUCAGAGGGGGGUGCAAAAUGUGAUUAUGGCAGAAACAGGAAUUACAUGAGUCCAAGCCCUCCCAAUAGUCUUAAUGGACAUGAGAGCCCCAAAAAAAGGAAAAAGACAGCCCUCGGCCCACAUGAAAUUCUUACAGGUUGACCAAUGUGAGUGGGAAUCGAGCCUCCUCCACAGGAGGGCCUUGCUGGGGUCGAUGGACAGUUGAGAAAUUAUAUGAUAUCUUUGAGUAAAGUUAUCAGCUCUCUUUACUCAAAGGUGAAAGCCGCUUUAUCGGUUUCAGGUGACAAACCCCAACAUUCCUAUGACCAGGAAACUGGAUAUGGGUCAGAGACUUCCUGAGCAAGCCGUGGCACUGUCCAAGGUGGUUCUGGCCGUAUGAGAUCAUCCUGACAACCAAAACUGCCAUCAAGGUUGUCAAGUGUGAUACCUGAAUUUACAUGUCGCAUUGCAAACCUCACCAAUUUGAUGGUACGUAAAUGGAGCCACGGAAUUAUAUCUGUCGAGUAAAGAGACUGAAACAUCUUGAAGGAUGGAGCUGUUGAGACAUCACAAGGGCCGGCCAGAUGCAUGGGGUCUGGGAUGGUCUGAGGGCCAGCAAAGUGUUCAAAUUCAAUGCUGGUGGAGCAUGAGUCGAGAGAGGCUGUGGUCCGAGCUACAGAACUGGCCGAGAAAUGGGCAGAAGCUGUAGAGGCGAGACACCAACAGGCUGCAUUUCAGCAGAGCUUUCUGGACCUUUUUGCAACGCUUCUAAAAGCGAAACAAGCUUCUGUCCCACCACCUACAAUGGACUGAAACUGCCUAUUAUAUUAUAUUAUAUUAUAUUAUAUUAUAUUAUAUUAUAUUAUAUUAUAUUA